UACGUAGGGGGCAAGCGUUGUCCGGAUUUAUUGGGCGUAAAGAGCGUGUAGGCGGCCUGGUAGGUCAGCUGUGAAAACUCGAGGCUCAACCUCGAGACGCCGGUUGAAACCAUCAGGCUAGAGUCCGGAAGAGGAGAGUGGAAUUCCUGGUGUAGCGGUGAAAUGCGCAGAUAUCAGGAAGAACACCCGUGGCGAAGGCGGCUCUCUGGGCCGAUACUGACGCUGAGGAGCGAAAGCGUGGGGAGCGAACAGG
rnacentral:rRNA from 1 species